rnacentral:rRNA from 1 species
CAGUCGCCGCGGGAAAACGGAGGGUGCAAGCGUUAUCCGGAUUUAUUGGGUUUAAAGGGUCCGUAGGCGGAUCUGUAAGUCAGUGGUGAAAUCUCACAGCUUAACUGUGAAACUGCCAUUGAUACUGCAGGUCUUGAGUAAAUUUGAAGUGGCUGGAAUAAGUAGUGUAGCGGUGAAAUGCAUAGAUAUUACUUAGAACACCAAUUGCGAAGGCAGGUCACUAAGAUUUAACUGACGCUGAUGGACGAAAGCGUGGGGAGCGAACAGGAUUAGAUACCCGAGUAGUCCCUGUCUCUUAUAC